AAAUAGUCCACAAACGUUCCGUAUAAUGAUAUCAAAUUCAUAAUUAAUCGUAACUUUUUUUUAUCUUUGUAUAAUAAAUAUAACAAAAUGGAUUCCACAAAAUUGAAAAUAGCAUUAUUUUACGAGGAUUUCUCAUAUUUUUCUCACUUCCGGCGCAGUAAUACGUAUGUUUCGAAGAAGCUCGAAGAAUUUGACAAAGUGAAUUGAGAAGGAAACGGAUAGAUUUACGUCCUUGCUAUCAGGGCACAAACCCACUUUAAAGACACUUGUCUACUGCCAUACCCAUCCUAAUUUCAUGCACCAUUUGCAAGCAAGAGACUGAAUGGUUUGCAAAAUUAAAAAUCAGGACGGUGUCCAAUUAAAACAAAAGAACUAAACUGGAUGAAUAUUGUAGGAGAAAUCUAGAGGAAAGUUUUGAUUUGUGAAAUUGGUUUUCCUGAAAAGCCAUUCAUCCUAGCCUGCAGAAAGGAACUAUAACUGUCCACCACCAACUGACGAGCUAAUGUUGAGCUUCACAUAUGGAAUUAAUCAAAUACCAUCAACGUUUGUGUUUUCAGCACAGAUUUCACAAGUUAUGACACAGCUGUGUUUUUUUAUACCUGUUUAUAGAGUUGUAUACUAAAUUUUAUUUUUUUUAUCAAUAAAUAUAUAUUGUGUCA